rnacentral:rRNA from 1 species
CUGCUAAUACCCCAUAUGAGCUUGGUUGAAAUACCAAUCUUGAAAACUCCGGUGCUCUAGGAUGAGCCUGCACCUGAUUAGCUUGUUGGUGGUGUAAUGGACUACCAAAGGCGACGAUCAGUAGCUGGUUUGAGAGGAUGAUCAGCCACAAUGGGACUGAGACACGGCCCAUACUCCUACGGGAGGCAGCAGUAGGGAAUUUUGCGCAAUGGGCGAAAGCCUGACGCAGCAACGCCGCGUGUGUGAUGACGCCCUUCGGGGUGUAAAACACUGUCAGUAGGGACGAAUUUUGACGGUACCUACAGAGGAAGCACCGGCUAACUCCGUG